GAAAUGCGAUAAGUAGUGUGAAUUGUAGAAUUCAGUGAAUCAUCGAAUCUUUGAACGCACAUUGCGCCCUAUGGUAUUCCGGGGGGCAUGCCUGUCCGAGCGUCAUUACGCACCCUCAAGCCCGGCUUGUGUGAUGGGCCCCGGCGUCUCGUUCGCGAGACGGGCCCGAAAGGCAGCGGCGGCGUCGACCCGAUGAGCCCGAGCGUAUGGGGACUUCUGUCACACGUUCGCGGUGCGGACCGGCGCCUGCUUGACUUUUCUGAUUAUCCAGGUUGACCUCGGAUCAGGUAGGGAUACCCGCUGAACUUAAGC
rnacentral:misc_RNA from 1 species